rnacentral:tRNA from 1 species
GCUGGAGGUGGGGGAGGAGUCGUCCUGGCUCAUGCUCGCGAUGUGAGCACAGCUCGCUCGUGGCGCUGCGAUCGGAGGUCGUGGCCCCUGCUCCGGCC